rnacentral:snRNA from 9 species
AUACUUACCUGGCGUAGGGAUACCGCGAUCAUGCAGGCGGUUCCCCCAGAGCGAGGCUGUCCCAUUGCACUGCGGAGUGGUUGACACUUGCGAUUAUUUUCAUUUUUAUUAAUAAAAAAAUCAUAAUAAAAAUGUAUACCCGAAUAAUUAUUUUCUUUAUACCUCGGUAUAGA